UACGAAGGGGGCUAGCGUUGUUCGGAUUUACUGGGCGUAAAGCGCACGUAGGCGGCUCGAUCAGUCAGGGGUGAAAUCCUGGAGCUCAACUCCAGAACUGCCUUUGAUACUGGCGAUCUCGAGUCCUGGAGAGGUGAGUGGAACUGCGAGUGUAGAGGUGAAAUUCGUAGAUAUUCGCAAGAACACCAGUGGCGAAGGCGGCUAACUGGCAAGGUACUGACGCUGAGGUGCGAAAGCGUGGGGAGCAAACAGG
rnacentral:rRNA from 1 species